GGGAAUUAGCUCAGUUGGCUAGAGCACCGGCUUUGCAAGCCGGGUGUCAGGGGUUCAAAUCCCCUAUUCUCC
rnacentral:tRNA from 1 species